UGUAAAGGAAGGUCGUAGGAAUGGUCCGUGGUGAGAACCCUCCCCUUCACUAUAACUGGGAUGCAACCCAGGAGAAGGCAGGGCUAAGUAUGCCAGGAGGAGGAGCUCAGGGUUCAGCUCGUCUUCUGAGACACUGCUCCAAGAAAAGCUUCCUUCCCAUGGAGAUGCAGGAAGCUCGUAACUCCCAGAGCCUAAUCCAGCCCAGAACUUGGAUCUGGGAGGUCUGAAACCUUCCCACUAUGAGGAAAAUGAGUACGGAGAGGUUAAAUGACUUGCCCGUGAAUAAUAAGUUUUGGAGCUGAGAACUGCGCCCAUAAUCUGGUUCCAAGCCCUGUGUUCUUAACGACUACACAGUGCCUGGCUUAGCUCGGGGCUUGCCUCAUGGUCAAGGUCAACAACAUUAGCUGGUAGGUGGAAGUAGUAAUUGUAAUAAGUAGUGGAAGCAUUAGGGGGAGAAUAUGUCUAGAGGAUAAAGAAGAGUUUGUACCAGUAUUAAGAAAAUCUUUAAAGGGAAAAAUCUGGUAUGAAGCAAUAAAGCCAACUACACAGCACGUCGCGUAUCCUGUUCCUGCGAGACACGUACAAGUUCAUUGCUUUCUCUCUGUGAUUACCCAUUCUGGGGCUAAACAGCACAGACUUCGGGGGAUGUGAUAAUGUACAGAAGUGUUCUUGAGUCUAUGAAAAUUUCUUCCUUUUAUUUGUAUAACCCCUUAUUAAUGACGGGGGGCUUUUCUACACUUCCAGGAGGCACUUUCCCCCAAAGACCCUCAGGACAUAAAUCAUUGCGGCAGAAUAAAAAGAACGCUGUUCAUCCUGCAGAGAGGGUUGCUCAGAAUGAAUGCAGCUACUAUUCUUUUCUGCCCUCGUUUGUAAACGUGAGAAGUCAGAGGUUUGGAUAUGGCGUGGGGCCUGCAGGCACUAUGUAAAUAUUAACGAAUUGAAAGGUGUUGAUAAGGUAAAGAGACUUACACUUCUCCAAAUGGUGACAGCCAACACUUUAGUUUCAAUUUUUUUUUUUUUUAAGGAAAAAGACAAGCAACGGAGCCCGGAUCAUCAGAAAGGCUUUCUUCGUGCGUUGGGUGACAGCCAUCACGGUCUCAGUGAGAGGGAGAGCCCUGCCGGAGGCUAAUGGACCAUAGGAAGAUGAUUUAUCCUUUCUCCCAAGUCUGCCUUGUAAAAGCAUUUCUCUAAUCGCCUGUCCACAGCGUAUGUUUCCUGUAACAAGGCACUCCGUUCCCUAACAUUCAUAGGGCACACUGCUGCCAACAGCAAAGCAGAAAAGUGACGGGAGGUGCCCUGUCACACCAUCCAGGUAAAUGCCUCCUGAUCCACCAGAGGGUUUGAGAACCCCAGUUCCCAAGCUCUGUCAGGCUGACAUUCUAUUAAACCCCACGGGAAAGAAAAAACUUUAACACUAACAUGCAAGAGGGAUUGAAGUACUAAGCCCAGCACUCAGCCAGGGGAUCAAGUCUCAGGAGGACAUUGUGAGGUCAGAGGAUGCCUGAGAGUCUGCACACAUUCCUCCCCCAGGCCACCCGGCCCGGACUUGGGAAAAGAGCACAUGUGACCAGCUGCCCUGAAAAAUACCAACGAGAACCUUCACAGAUGGCUCCGAGCCCGGGGUAAAAAUAGCUCAUCAUACAGCACAGCCCUAACGAGGGGCAGGACAGGUUUUGAUUUCAGCUUGCCAAAAAGGUAAAAAAAAAAAAAAAAAAAAAUGUUUUCAC